ensembl:lncRNA
ACAUAUAUGCACAAUCAGAGGCUUUUAUUGGGGCUUUUCAUUUUCUUUUAGAGCCAGCCGCAUCCAUGCAAUGAGCAGCCAACGACACCAGAGCACCGGGCAGAAAGAGCAGCGUCAUCAGAGCUGCCAGCUAGGCUCCUCGAGUGUGUCACCACAUCUGUCUUGUUUCAAGGGCUUCUCUCUCCUUCCACCAAGGCAGGGAGCAGGAGCCUGCCAGCUCCCAUCUGCACAGGCAUCUCCACUGCUUUCUUCCCACAGAGGAGCCAAUCCCCACGAGGCCUCUGGCAGUCACCUCCAAGAGCUGCUAAAGUGCAGUGAACAGGAUCAUGAUGGGCCUGUACAAAUACCUGUACAAAUACUCCACAGGAAGGCAUCUCUUGGAGGGCAGCAGUCAACAGAGGCUGGACUGAGGACAAACUGUGAGCUGGCUGGACCUAAACAAAGAGAGGUAUCAUGUCAAUGAUGUGGAGAGAAAAAAUGAGCAAGGGGUGGGAGCAAUCUGAUGAAAGGAGCUACCAAGAGAGGGCUGCUGAGGCACGGUGGAGGCAGAGACUGAAAAGGAAUGAGGUGGCAUGUAUUAGAGGAAGAGCCUGUGUUGGUGGAAGACUGGAGGGAUGAAGGUGCUGCAAGGUGUAUGUAAUUAAGUGGAUCACUACAGCAAAGGAUGCCCUAGCAACACGGCAUGGUUUCUCCCAGCUGUGCCUGUCUGCAACACAGCCAUCCCUGCUUCCCCCAUAGUAUUUGGGAGGGCUGGAGUAGGCCAACUCCACCACCCUCAUCCAUGCUGCAGGGAGCCUAUUUUAAGCCUUGCUAACGUAGGAGGAUUAAAUUUGGCUGUCUGAGACACGUCCUGCUCCCAGCUGUCCCCCAACCUCUCCUGAGGUUGGCAGCUCUGCUGCAGGCAUGUCUCAUGACAUAGGAGGCUGCCUUGGACCUCCAUGGUCAGCUGCCCUGCACAAGGGGAAAACAAAAUUAGGGCAUUUUACGUGUCUCUGCUACAUAGGCACCCAUCUUGGGUUUGCGGCAAGAACUCUUCCAGGCGUUGGUCUCAAUGGGUUGAGCAUGUCCCCCAUGUGCAAAGCACCCUGGGACAAGAUCUAGUGGGAUGGGUGGGUUUGGAGGGAGCCCCAGCCCCAUGGUCAUUCUGACCCAUCUGUGAGGAGCAGUGCCCUUACACCAGCCAGCCUUCAUUUCAACUUGUUACACGGCAGCUACAGGGGGGCCCUGCAUCUUCUCCCCUGGCCAGCCCAUCACUAGGGUGAGGGAAGAAAGCCAGCCCCACGAAUGUCCGUCUGUGCCCACCCUGCUGGAGGAGGCAGGUGUCUGGGGAGCUAUAGUUUGCCCUCAUUUGUCCGGACUCCUGCAUACACUAUACAUUCCUGGUCAAUCAUGUAUUUUAUUAAUUUAUAGAGUGCUUGUUCUUGGAGCACUUGCAGAAGAGCCUCACAGAAAAUUGUGUCUUGCCUGGGCAGAUCAAUCUGCCCAGAGCCUGCAGUGUAUAUAUUUAAGAGAACAUUACACCCAGCCAUUGCUGGCUGAAUUACUGACCGCCAUCUGGAGGCUGGGCAGGAAGGACCAAAUAUUCAGCUGGAGAAAUUGGGCAAGCAGUGGAGGGCACAGCUCUGAUUUACACUCAGUGGGGCAGACUGUGGCCUCCUCCUGAGCACCGAACUGGGCUCUGUCCCUGGUUACCAGUACCAUGGGGGACAUCACUCAGUGGCUCUUCCUCGGUUUGCUCACUUGGAAAAUGGGGGUAAUAAUACCCAUCACCUAUCUGCAAGGCUGUUGUGAAUUUUCAUGAGCUACCAUCUGAACGGGGCUUUGAGCAGGGAAAUUGCUGUAUCAGCUCUAGGCAAUGAUAAACAAUACUCAGCAUUUACAUAUUCAAAGCACUUUGAUUAACUCUUGGGGUUUAAGGACUUGAUUCAAUUCCCACUGAACCGUAAUGGCAGCUGGACGGGGUUAUCAGCAGCGCUGCUGUCUCGUGCUGGCCCUCGGCACUGGGUGCAACCUCGGCUGGCCGCAGGCCGGGAGCCUGGGGUGGGUGCUGGAGCUGGGGCUUCACCCCUCCUGACGCUGCUUUGCUGGGGGACCCUGGUGAAAUCAGGCAAAGCGCCUUGUGCCUUAAGUCCCUGCCUAAUAAAGAAGAAAUAAAUAACA